GUUAUUAACCUGUGACAAAAUACGUGUAUAUGUUACAUCUGUAGACAUACACAUACAUUGCCAUUUUUAUAUUCUAAUAGUAUUAUAAUUACAUUUUGGAAACCAGAACUCAGAAAUCUGUGCUCUUGCUAUAAAUCUUUCAGUUGACCUCGUGGGUCUACUCAAGCUGUAAUUUUUUACUUAAAAUUUUUUUUCUUUCUUUUUUUUUUAGGGUCCUCCUGGUCCAAAAGGUGAUAAGGGGGAACAAGGUGAUCAGGGACCUCGGCAGAUAAAAGGUGUACCAUGACUCAGCAUUGUGAGAAGAGGGACAUUCUUUUGUUCUUCUCCAACGCGGUCCUUAAAACCAUUACAACCAAUACCGAAUGCUUUGUUGUUACCUUGGCAGUGCCAAGUCUGCCGCCGCGCAUCUGUGGAUGAUUACCCGAAUGUUCAGACAUACUGUUCCAAUGAUGUAGUGGCUCUGUUGAGACAUACCUUUCAAUUUUCUCAUGUCACUAUGCACAACAGCGAGUAAUUGGUUGAAGAGUGUAAUUUUUUACAGUGAAAAAGCACAUUUAAAACUUUCAGGUUGAAACAAACUGUGUAGGUCUUUAUGUAAAAUGCACCAUGCUUAACUAUUGAAUGUGUUUGUACUAUAGAGAUUUCUUCUUUUUGCAGAAGAUUCAGUUGAUGUACACUUGAAAGCUUUAUCCCCUCAUGUGUCUUAAACCUGUUAAAGGUUAUGCUGUAUUUCUUUUCUUUCUAGUCUUCAUGUAGAAAUGAGGAUUAGACCUCAGCAUUCAGUUUCUCAUGGUGAUUAUUCUAGCUGAUGACUAGCAUCAAGUUAAAAGCCCAUCUUAAUGGUCAAGGAAAUUAAAUAUCAUGCCGUCUGCUGUCGUAGAUGGGAGUGGAAUAAAACUCAGCCCUAAAUGAUGAGACUGCAGAUUAUGGUUCUCUGUAGGUGGUGAUUAUUUCACAGGGCACGCCGCGCCUCACAUCGAGUAGCAUUUCUUUCUACACACAGCAUCAAAAUGGCUCAGCUUGCCCUUUCCAGGUAAGAGGGAAACUGUUUCCAUUCUGAGAAAUCUUUUGGCAAAGAAAGGAAGGGAUGGCUCACAGCUUGGCCGUCAUCGGCGCCCACACAGUCCUCGUUUUCAC
rnacentral:lncRNA from 1 species